GCGGCGUCCCGAGACGGUGGUCUCGCUUUAUCGCAAAGGCGAACCCGCUGAUGCCCCGCUCCCUCGACUGGGGCAGGCGAGCCCGGCCGCCAGCUCUGGGACUUUUGGGGAGGGAGGAGGUCGUGGGGGAGAACCGAGCACGUAAAGGCAAAAAUCCCUUUAAUGAACAAGGAAGAAGGCAACAACGUUUUUACAGUCCUGAGAAGUGCCUGUUACUAGAAAUGAUUUUCACUUUGUUCCUGAAAAGUAUGCCAAGUUUACUGGUGAGCUGGUGUUUGCUGGUGAUGCUACAAAUAGAAGCAAGACUGGCAGGAAGGAGCAUGAGCUUUCCAGUGGAACAUGUGACAGCAGGGACCUGCUCCAGGAGCUGCAAUUGGGGCAUCUCUGAAUGGGAGAUGAUGGACUGGUGACUGAAAUUGUUUAGAAAAAACUAUAUGUUUUGAAGUUUGUGAAAUGGUGUGAACCUGACCACAGCCUGUGAGAAGGGUGCUUCCCUAGCGUCAGCCAGGUACGUGUUGCACAUUCCGGGAUGUGGUAAGCUGAGGGCGCAGCCAGCUUGGCUGGUUUAGAAGAGCAUGUCUUGUGAAGCCAAGCAAGAUGUGACCUUGGGAGUGCUGCUUGGUGCUGUCCCUGCAGCAGUGGGAAGCCAUUGCUUUCAGGAGGUCUUGUGGAGGUGUGGGAGCAGCAGCAGGGGCCUGAGCUUUGCUUCCAGACUGCCACAGUAACAGCGUGCCCAGAGGGAUCCUGAACGUGUCUCUCUGUUGCCAGCGCCACCUGGGUGUGGUGAAGCCCAGGGUCCUGGUUUCACCUGCCAGAGUUACACAGGCAUUUUCACUGUAGAAUAAAUGCAGCACUGGUAAAGAAACA
rnacentral:lncRNA from 1 species